rnacentral:tRNA from 1 species
UCCCUGGUGGUCCAGUGGUUAGGACUCAGUGCUUUCACUGCCAAGGGCCUGGGUUCAAUCCCUGGUCAGGGAA